rnacentral:rRNA from 1 species
UACAGAGGGUGCAAGCGUUGUCCGGAAUCACUGGGCGUAAAGGGCGCGUAGGCGGCCCGGUAAGUAGGGGGGUGAAAUCUCACGGCUCAACUGUGAGGCUGCCUUCUAGACUGCCAGGCUCGAGCACAGUAGAGGCUGGUGGAAUUCCCGGUGUAGCGGUGGAAUGCGUAGAGAUCGGGAAGAACAUCUGUGGCGAAGGCGGCCAGCUGGGCUGUUGCUGACGCUGAUGGCGCGACAGCGUGGGGAGCAACAGG